rnacentral:rRNA from 1 species
UACGGAGGGUGCAAGCGUUAUCCGGAUUCACUGGGUUUAAAGGGUGCGUAGGUGGGCAGGUAAGUCAGUGGUGAAAUCCCCGAGCUUAACUUGGGAACUGCCGUUGAUACUAUCUGUCUUGAAUAUCGCGGAGGUAAGCGGAAUAUGUCAUGUAGCGGUGAAAUGCUUAGAUAUGACAUAGAACACCGAUUGCGAAGGCAGCUUACUACACGAUCAUUGACACUGAGGCACGAAAGCGUGGGGGAGCAAACAGG